ACUUAUAUAAUAACAUUCUUAUCCAUUUUGUAACACCUUAAAUUCUAAUUUUUCUAAGUAUAGUGAAACUCAGAAGGUCUAAGAAAUAUUGUGCAAUUCUCGCCUGAGCGAGAGGGUCUCGCCCAAGCGAGGGGCUCAGAGUUUCUCUCAGGAUUUUUCUGGGAUUCUCGCCUGAGCGAGGGAGAGUUGAGGAGAUUGAAUGAUUCUCGCCUGAGCGAGGGUAUACUCGCUCAAGCGAGAGGGGGCAGAGGGGACUGGAUCAUUCUCACCUGGGCGAGGCUCGGUCGCUUGAGCGAGAUCAUCAGAGUUUGAAAUUUGAAAAGUCGUGAACUCUCGCUUGAGCGAGAGUCUAAAAACCUGAACCCUAAAAUAGAACCCCAAACAUGAAAAGGGGAUAGAUUUUUGGGAGAAAAGAGAGGAGGAGGCAAUUUUCUUGGCAAGAGCUCGUGUAGAAGCACAGAGAAGCUAGAU